rnacentral:rRNA from 1 species
UACGUAGGGGGCAAGCGUUAUCCGGAUUUACUGGGUGUAAAGGGAGCGUAGACGGCAGAGCAAGUCUGAAGUGAAAGCCCGCGGCCCAACUGCGGGAUUGCUUUGGAAACUGCCCGGCUAGAGUGCUGGAGAGGUAAGCGGAAUUCCUAGUGUAGCGGUGAAAUGCGUAGAUAUUAGGAGGAACACCAGUGGCGAAGGCGGCUUACUGGACAGUAACUGACGUUGAGGCUCGAAAGCGUGGGGAGCAAACAGG